UUAAAAGGCAGAGGUGGCCUGUGGUUGGAGUAUUGCCAGAGGCUAUAAAUAGCUGAGUGUGUGAAGAAGGAGAGUCUGGGGAAGAAAGAGGAAUGGGGGAGGCCCCUGGGUCUCCAGGUGGCAGCAGAGCCCUGUGGUGAGGGAGGGGCAUGGGCUCUGAACAUAAAGCUCUUGUAGGCAUGGUGUGACUUGAUGGGCUGGGAGUCAUACAGGGGACUUGUGUUAUGAGGGAUUGUCAUAGGCAGUAGGGGAUGGUUGUGGCUGUAAUAUAGCCAAUGUGCCAGGCAGUGUUCUAACCACUCUUAAAGUGCAUUAACUCAAUUAGUUCCUACAACUACCCUAGCUGUGAAGUAUUGGAGUAGGACUUGAAGUCUGGCCAGCUCACGGCUGCCAUUUUUCGCUGGGUUGCCUAUAGGAGGAUCUGGUCAGAUGGGGGUCAGGUGACAUCUUUUUGAAAUGGAGUCUUGCUCUUGUUGCCCAGGCUGGAGUGCAAUGGCACGACCUCAGCUCACUGCAACCUCCGCCUCCUGGGUUCAAGCGAUUCUCCUGCCUCAGCCUCCUGAGUAGCUGGGAUUACAGGUGUCCGCCGCCAUGCCUGGCUCAUUUUUGUAUUUUUAGUAGAGACCAGGUUUCACCACAUUGGCCAGGCUGGUCUCGAACUCCUGACCUCAGGUGAUCUGCCCGUCUCAGCCUCCCAAAGUGCUGGCAUUACAGGCGUGAGCCACAGUGCCUGGCCCAGCUGACAUCUUGAACCCUUGGGUCCUCUGAGAUUUGGAACUCCCAGCCUCUUCACUUGGGUCCUGCCCAUGGUAGUGGCAAGUGGGUGGUCCCUGACUUAUCAGUGGCCUGGAGAGAGGAGGUUACUCUGUUGGCCUCCCUUGUUUGGGCUCCUGCCUCAGCACAGAGGCUUGUUGCUUGUCUGAAUGGAGAUGGAAACUCUUUGAGGACCUAGGGCUUGGGCUGCAGGCUGAGGCCAUCCUUGUUGUCCCCUCCUUUCGACAUCUUGCUCUAGCCAUGAUACCUAUACCCUUCUGUCCUUCUGUCUGUCCACCCAUCCAUCUAUGAUGUGUUUGGAAUGAUUCUGCCACUUAGGACGGCAAGGGUCCUGCCUUUGUCGGCUUUCCAGUCUUGUGGGGAAAGCCUGACAUUUAGAAAGUAGUUGUCGAGUACAUGUGUAAUGUUUUAUUUCUCAUACAAGUGUUCAUUGUGUUAUUUCCUCUUGAGAUUAUUUUUGGUUAUAUUAUUGGUACACUUUUUGGAUGUCUGAAAUAAUCCUUUAAGCAACAACAGGCCAUUAGUCAAGGGUGGUUAAGUUAUGUGGCAGGGGAAGCACAAGGGCCAGUGGAAAUAGAGAGUUUGCCUGGUCUCAGGGGAGAGGGAAGAGCCGAAAUCAGAGGAAGGUGGGUAACCUUACGGCCAGAGGUGGUAACUUCCGACUUACGCUAAGCCUAGAAGCCAAACACAUUCAAGGGUGUGACAUUAUGGUGUGGCUGCAGUGAGGGGAGGAAGGUAGGGGAGUGCCCAGCUUCCCUGUCUGCAGUGCAGCUUCAUGGCUGGCCCCACAAGUCUCAGGUCUCCACGGACCCCCACUAGAACUGCUGCCGUGGAUGCAGUGGGGCCCAGCCUGGGGAGAGGAGGCCCUGUGGCCUCUGGGCAGGGUGCUUCGAAUAACCCAGUAAUUGGAUGCUGCUGCAGGCAGACAGGGACAAUGUAGGUGCAAGCCUCAGUCCUGGCCCUGGUGUGCUUGUUCAGCCUUUGGUCUACUACCCCCACCCCACCCUCUCAGGUUCUCCCUCUAAACCUUAAAGCCACAUGCUUGAUGAAGGGCCUGGCUGGGGAAGCCAGUGUGUACCCUUGUAAGCCUCUCUGUGGACCCUGAGGCCCUUCCUUUAGAAGAGGCUGAGUCCCAGCUGACUGACUGGUCAGGAGGCCAUGCAUUUUCCUUUCACAGGUGUCAGAGCCUAGGCCACCUGGUGCAGGAUGACCAGAGCUGUGGCUGGGCACUGCCAUUCUGAUUGGGUGACAUUUCGGACCCUUAGGUGCUACCUGGAUCCUUGAGAUUCGUUGCUUGCUCCUGCCGCUGGAAGAAGCAUCCUGUCACUUCAGGGAGAUGCAGAAAGGGGUUGGGUUUGACAGGAGAAUGGCCGCUCCAGUGGUGGGGGGCUUCUUUCACCUGACAGCCAGUCAGUAUCCUUCUCUCUGGGGUAUACCCUGGGAAAUCAAGCUCUUUCCUCAUGAAGGCCAACAGUAGGGGUGGAGAUGAGAGUGAGGAUGUCCUUAGGCUACGCUAGUGUUCAGGGUACUUUGCCCUCCCCCAGGGUCAGGGCAGGGUUCGUGUUCUUUGCUACUCCAGUCAGCCUUUCAGGCUGAUGGCGAAGUAGGGCUCUUGGCUGCUGGUGGGCUGGCUGUCUGGUGGGAUUGACUCUGACCCCUCCCUCCUUCCUGGGAUGGGAAUAGUGGUAGGAGAAGACCAGCCAGGAGUGGUGCCAGGUCACUGGCCUACGUGGGCCCAAAAAGUGUGGAUAGGAUGGCUGGAUGCUUGGUGCAACUAUCCUCUCGGGUGUCUGUGUGGGGUUCUGGCAGUGAGGUUGUAAAUGCCACCACCUGCCUCCAUUGUGGGCGGCCUAUAAUGGGGUGCUGGCAGAGCUCUCAGACAGAACCCAACCUCCUUUGGCAUCUCCAUACUCUUUCCUAUGUCAGGGCUAUGUGGUUCCUGCGGGUAGUGGGAGUAGACUGGGGCUGGGACUGGAGGUUGUUUUGUAGGGGAUGGUGAGGAAGAUGGAUUUGGGGAAUGUUUGAAAUCAAGUUUGAAGGAAAGUGUUUGAAUGGGCAGGUGGGGGUUGAAGUGGUUGUUCACCUGGAUGGCACUUCCUGCAGCAGGUGGAAGGGGGUUCAGAAGUGAUGGGGAGUGCCCUGGGGUCAUCAGGAGCCUAGCCAGGAGAAUGAUCUGUGAUUGCAGGUUAAGCCACCAGCUAGCGCUCCUCUGCCUGAGGCACGUAUUCCCCUUGGUGACUCUGGGAGGCUUACCCUGUACACGCAGGCCUCAUUCCUUAUGUUCUCCAGCCCUGCCGAGCACCAGGUGUGGUUGCUGGGUGUAGAAAGGACGCUUACAGGGUCCUUUCCAUUCCGUAUGGGCAGGGAGUUGUGGAGGACCCACUGGCAUGGUGUCCCUGGGGAACUGUUGUGAGAAGGGGGCUUGGGGGCAGAGACAGGAGCAGCAGGAAGCCACUCCCCUUUGUAGUUUUCCCAGGUGGUCCUUGAGAUCUUUAUCACAAUCACCUGAGACAGACAGGGGUGAUUAAAAGCACAUAUUCUGCCCCCAUUCCCAUUGGGAUGGGUCUGGAUUGGGCCUGGAAAUACGUAUUUGAAUGAACUGCUCCCCUUUCCCACACCUGCAACAUACAGUGAUUCCGAUGUGCACUGGGGUUUUAAGGGGGCUUCUUCAUCGGUUUCUGCUGCAGCAGGGAAGUAGCCCCCACCCCCACCCAGGAGCCUCAGGUGUUGGUGCCCUUUCUGUGCAUCUGGACUCUGUCUGUCUGGCUGUUUAUCCAUCCUUCUGUGGCAUUAGGUUUCCUGCCUCCUCCCUUUUGCUUAGGCCUAGGGGCAGCUGUGAUGGGCUGCAGAAUGAGGUGGGGGCUGGUGCCAGCUGGCACACGUAAAUUAAGAGGUGUGGGACGGAUGGGUGGCCUACGUCCAGGGGUGAGUGCAGGAGGUUGGUGACCCCAACCCACCACCCGGCCUCCCUCCCUCAGGGUGGCCUGGCACCCAGGACUGGGAGUAGGGGUUUGGGUGGUGGUCCCAGGGGCAUGCUCAGUGGUUCUCUUUUCUCUGGGGCACAGGCUCUGGGCGUGGGGAGGCUGAGACACGGGAGUGCAUCUACUACAACGCCAACUGGGAGCUGGAGCGCACCAACCAGAGCGGCCUGGAGCGCUGCGAAGGCGAGCAGGACAAGCGGCUGCACUGCUACGCCUCCUGGCGCAACAGCUCUGGCACCAUCGAGCUCGUGAAGAAGGGCUGCUGGCUAGAUGACUUCAACUGCUACGAUAGGCAGGAGUGCGUGGCCACUGAGGAGAACCCCCAGGUGUACUUCUGCUGCUGUGAAGGCAACUUCUGCAACGAGCGCUUCACUCAUUUGCCAGAGGCUGGGGGCCCGGAAGUCACGUACGAGCCACCCCCGACAGCCCCCACCCUGCUCACGGUGCUGGCCUACUCACUGCUGCCCAUCGGGGGCCUUUCCCUCAUCGUCCUGCUGGCCUUUUGGAUGUACCGGCAUCGCAAGCCCCCCUACGGUCAUGUGGACAUCCAUGAGGACCCUGGGCCUCCACCACCAUCCCCUCUGGUGGGGCUGAAGCCACUGCAGCUGCUGGAGAUCAAGGCUCGGGGGCGCUUUGGCUGUGUCUGGAAGGCCCAGCUAAUGAAUGACUUUGUAGCUGUCAAGAUCUUCCCACUCCAGGACAAGCAGUCGUGGCAGAGUGAACGGGAGAUUUUCAGCACACCUGGCAUGAAGCACGAGAACCUGCUACAGUUCAUUGCUGCCGAGAAGCGAGGCUCCAACCUCGAAGUAGAGCUGUGGCUCAUCACGGCCUUCCAUGACAAGGGCUCCCUCACGGAUUACCUCAAGGGGAACAUCAUCACAUGGAACGAACUGUGUCAUGUAGCAGAGACGAUGUCACGAGGCCUCUCAUACCUGCAUGAGGAUGUGCCCUGGUGCCGUGGCGAGGGCCACAAGCCGUCUAUUGCCCACAGGGACUUUAAAAGUAAGAAUGUAUUGCUGAAGAGCGACCUCACAGCCGUGCUGGCUGACUUUGGCUUGGCUGUUCGAUUUGAGCCAGGGAAACCUCCAGGGGACACCCACGGACAGGUAGGCACGAGACGGUACAUGGCUCCUGAGGUGCUCGAGGGAGCCAUCAACUUCCAGAGAGAUGCCUUCCUGCGCAUUGACAUGUAUGCCAUGGGGUUGGUGCUGUGGGAGCUUGUGUCUCGCUGCAAGGCUGCAGACGGACCCGUGGAUGAGUACAUGCUGCCCUUUGAGGAAGAGAUUGGCCAGCACCCUUCGUUGGAGGAGCUGCAGGAGGUGGUGGUGCACAAGAAGAUGAGGCCCACCAUUAAAGAUCACUGGUUGAAACACCCGGGCCUGGCCCAGCUUUGUGUGACCAUCGAGGAGUGCUGGGACCAUGAUGCAGAGGCUCGCUUGUCCGCGGGCUGUGUGGAGGAGCGGGUGUCCCUGAUUCGGAGGUCGGUCAACGGCACUACCUCGGACUGUCUCGUUUCCCUGGUGACCUCUGUCACCAAUGUGGACCUGCCCCCUAAAGAGUCAAGCAUCUAAGCGCAGGACAUGAGUGUCUGUCCAGACUCAGUGGAUCUGAAG
rnacentral:sRNA from 1 species